AGCUCCAAUAGCGUAUAUUAAAGUUGCUGCAGUUAAAAAGCUCGUAGUUGGAUCUCGGGGUACCUGGUCUAGCCGGUAUAGCUCACGCUAAAACUGGUCUGACCCCCCAACGUGAGGUAUUCGUCUCCGGGUGCACUUCAUUGGGUGCUCGUGGGGGGCCUCGUAGUUACUGUGAAAAAAUUAGAGUGUUCAAAGCAGGCUCAUAUGUUCGGAUAGUCGUGCAUGGAAUAACUGAAAUCGUGACUGGCGCUUAUCAGGUGGGCUCGGGGACUGGUGUAAUGAUUAAGAGGGACAGCCGGGGGCAUUGGUAUUGCAGGGUUAGAGGUGAAAUUCUUGGAUCCUCGCCAGACCAACAAAAGCGAAAGCAUUUGCCAAGGAUGUCUUCA
rnacentral:rRNA from 1 species